rnacentral:rRNA from 1 species
ACAAGCGGUGGAGCAUGUGGUUAAUUCGAGGCAACGCGAAGAACCUUACCAGGCCUUGACAUGCAGAGAACUUUCCAGAGAUGGAUUGGUGCCUUCGGGAACUCUGACACAGGUGCUGCAUGGCUGUCGUCAGCUCGUGUCGUGAGAUGUUGGGUUAAGUCCCGUAACGAGCGCAACCCUUGUCCUUAGUUACCAGCACGUUAUGGUGGGCACUCUAAGGAGACUGCCGGUGACAAACCGGAGGAAGGUGGGGGAUGACGUCAAGUCAUCAUGGCCCUUACGGCCUGGGCUACACACGUGCUACAAUGGUCGGUACAAAGGGUUGCCAAGCCGCGAGGUGGAGCUAAUCCCAUAAAACCGAUCGUAGUCCGGAUCGCAGUCUGCAACUCGACUGCGUGAAGUCGGAAUCGCUAGUAAUCGUGAAUCAGAAUGUCACGGUGAAUACGUUCCCGGGCCUU